AUGACAAGCAUGACCAAAAAUCAGUUUGGUUUCAUGCCUGGGAGGUUGACCAUGGAAGCCAAUUUCUUAGUACGACAACUUAUGGAAAGAUAUAGGGAGCAAAAGAAGGACUUGCAUAUGGUGUUCAUUGACUUGGAGAAAGCCUAUGAUAGGAUACCGCAGAAUAUCAUGUGGUGGGCCUUGGAGAAACACAAAGUCCCAGCAAAGUACGUUACCCUCAUCAAGGACAUGUACGAUAAUGUUGUGACAAGUGUUCGAACAAGUGAUGUUGACACUGAUGACUUCCCGAUUAAGAUAGGACUGCACCAAGGGUCAGGUUUGAGCCCUUAUCUUUUUGCCUUGGUGAUGGAUGAGGUCACAAGGGAUAUACAAGGAAAUAUCCCAUGGUGUAUGCUCUUUCCGGAUGAUGUGGUGCUAGUUGACGACAGUUGGACGGGGAUAAAUAGGAAGUUGAGUUAUGGAGUGAUGAGGAACACUAGAUGA
rnacentral:rRNA from 1 species